rnacentral:rRNA from 1 species
UACGGAGGAUGCGAGCGUUAUCCGGAAUUAUUGGGCGUAAAGGGUCCGCAGGUGGCAGUGUAAGUCUGCUGUCAAAGAAUGAGGCUUAACCUCAUCAAGGCAGUGGAAACUACACAGCUAGAGUACGGUAGGGGUAGAAGGAAUUCCUGGUGUAGCGGUGAAAUGCGUAGAGAUCAGGAAGAACACCGGUGGCGAAAGCGUUCUGCUAGACCUGUACUGACACUGAGGGACGAAAGCUAGGGGAGCGAAUGGG